GGGGGUAUAGCUCAGUGGUAGAGUGUGUGCUUGGUAUGCAUAAGGUCCUGGGUUCAAUCCCUGGUGCCUCUG
rnacentral:tRNA from 1 species